AAAACUCUCCCACAAUUAUAUCCAUUAAGUCUGAUAUAGAUAUAUAUAUAUGUAUAUCUAUAUCAGACUUAAUGGAUAUAAUUGUGGGAGAGAAGA